GGCCUAACACAUGCAUGUCGAGCGGUAACAGAAAGUAGCUUGCUACUUUGCUGACGAGCGGCGGUACGGGUGAGUAAUGCUUGGGAACAUGCCUUGAGGUGGGGGACAACAGUUGGAAACGACUGCUAAUACCGCAUAAUGUCUACGGACCAAAGGGGGCUUCGGCUCUCGCCUUUAGAUUGGCCCAAGUGGGAUUAGCUAGUUGGUGAGGUAAUGGCUCACCAAGGCAACGAUCCCUAGCUGGUUUGAGAGGAUGAUCAGCCACACUGGGACUGAGACACGGCCCAGACUCCUACGGGAGGCAGCAGUGGGGAAUAUUGCACAAUGGGCGCAAGCCUGAUGCAGCCAUGCCGCGUGUGUGAAGAAGGCCUUCGGGUUGUAAAGCACUUUCAGUCAGGAGGAAAGGUUAGUAGUUAAUACCUGCUAGCUGUGACGUUACUGACAGAAGAAGCACCGGCUAACUCCGUGCCAGCAGCCGCGGUAAUACGGAGGGUGCGAGCGUUAAUCGGAAUUACUGGGCGUAAAGCGUACGCAGGCGGUUUGUUAAGCGAGAUGUGAAAGCCCCGGGCUCAACCUGGGAACUGCAUUUCGAACUGGCAAACUAGAGUGUGAUAGAGGGUGGUAGAAUUUCAGGUGUAGCGGUGAAAUGCGUAGAGAUCUGAAGGAAUACCCGAUGGCGAAGGCAGCCACCUGGGUCAACACUGACGCUCAUGUACGAAAGCGUGGGGAGCAAACAGGAUUAGAUACCC
rnacentral:rRNA from 1 species